GGGUGGAAGAAGCUCACUGAGUGAUCCCUGCACCAGGAGCCAGUGUUGGGACUGCUCAGAUUUCAACUGCGGCAAAGGAGAGAAAAUAAAUACCACUUAUCUAGAGCGAGGACACUUCUUCCCUUUGUGGCACUGGAAAUUUACACGGUGAUUUACUCCUUGUUGCUGAUGAAAGGGUGAGGAGUAAGCAUGCCCACAGUCUCUCUGCAAGGAUCUGCAUCCCCAUCCAGCCGCUGCUAUUGCCAUCGAGGCAGUUAUCAGAGCAGGCAUCCUUUCAACUUAUGCUACGAACUCACUUGCCCACUCAGAUGCUUCGGUGAAAUGUGACAAGCUGCCAGGUGUUUCUGUGUUUUAACAUUUGCUUCAACAAAACAUUUUCUUCUCUUGCCAGUGUGACCUUUAAUUUGAUCCUGACUGGAGUAAAUAAUGACUUUCCUGCAACAUUUCAGGCAUCUCUCCUGGCACUUUUCAUUUUGCCACUUCUAACUGAAUGCUACAAAGAUCUGCAUAGCUGUGGCUUCCCUCCUGACAAGGGGGACAGAUGUGGCUGGCUGUCCCACAGUGUCCAACACUGUUUCUGCAGCCAGCCAAACCACAGCACAGCCAUCUUCCCUGACUGUUAUUAUUCCUCUUAGUAUUAAAUGGAAGAUCACUAUGUCAAUCCUGCAAAAUCCUGUUUACAAUUGGUAAAACUGUACUUCCAUAAUCUGUUCAGAAGCUUAUUCCUUAGAUCAGGCUAUUUUCUGUGAGCUAUUUGUAUCUCUGCAUUGCAGAUGGUAUGCAAUUUGUUCACUGAUCUCACUAACAAGAACAGUGCUCUUUCCCUCUUUUAAUCUAUGUAUGGCUUUUCUCUUGCUUUUUUUAUCAGUGGCCUGGACCUCAAAGGUUUCCUCACCUGUCACCUCACCUUCAUACUUUUCUGUUAUAUGUUUUAUGCCUACUCAAACGCCAGGCACAAUCACCCUUUGGUAUGACCAUGUUUUGCCAGCCAACAGGUGGAUAGAACUUCCUCCCAGAGGUGAUGCUUCAGACCUACAGUCCUGGUGGAGUUCAAGGGCACUACAUCAGGUAGGGUGGGCUUCUUUCUGUGGGCUGAAGGCAGAUUUGGGGCUAUCUGUGUGAAUUUCAGGUUGUCCCUUUUCUUCAAGGAAUAGGGCACUGCCAAAUCUGUCCUUCUAAAAUAAUAAUCGAAAGGAAAAUUAUGACUUCUGCAGAUUUAUUUCCCUUUAGGCCUCCCUCCCGAUGUUCUGAGCACAGGGAAUGUAUUUAUUUUACAUUUGCAAAAAGAUGCUAUAUCAAUAUGCCCCAGCUCUGGUCUGUUGCUAUAUUAUGAUUAUGUCAGAAACCCAUUUCUUACCUUCCUGAAGAUAAAUACGAUAUGAAAAAUGUGUACAAAACCAAUGAUGCAGAUGGCAAAGACUACAUGCUAAAUGGAAGCAAAAUUUUCAUGAUUUUGAUUUCUUUCUAGUUAUUUCCAGAGACAAAUGUUGUUGACAACAUUCUAAAAAUGUUAGUUGUCCUUAAAACUUAAUAUUUUAAAGUGUGCUAUCUUAGAGUAAUGACAGUAGAAAAAAGAAUAAAACAAAUCAUAUGAAAGUGAAUAACAUUGGGAAAUCUUAUUUUCUCUUAUUUCAGUAUUUUUGGAAUGUAUCUGACACUCAAAUGCAGGAGGAUCAAAAAUCUCAC